AUGAAGUCUGUGUGGCUCUGGCCUGGCGCUAAAAUCCUCCUCUCUCACAUUCCAACAAAUCCUAGCAGGAGGCUGGGGAGUCUGCCACACCACUCAGUGGAUCCACGGGGUUCUCUCUGCGUCUCUCUCCUCGCUCCCCUGCACCCCCCGAUAACGCCACUGUUUCGUAAAGUGUUGCUGUCAGAGGAGUCCUGCUCUACAAUCCCUAUUUUAUAUAAGAUGAGUCUCUACUCUCAUCUCAAUCAUAACGCUAUCGUCUGCUCGCUUUCCCUUCUGCUCCAACCUUUCCCUACUGCAAUCAGGGUCCUCCUUCUGCCCAGAUUACCUUUAGAGUCUCUCUCUCUUACCUUUAUAAGGUACCUGUACACUGUAUUAUUGUUACAUUCCCCAGCCUAUAAAACCAAAAAUCUCACUCAAACAGAAGGAGGAACUAACAAAGAGUCACUGACAACAACCAAAACAAAACAGGUGGGGUUUUAGGAGGGGUUCUGAAAGACACUCAUGAGGGUGUCCACUGAAAGUUGACUGGCAACAAGAACUGGGACUUAAAAGACACCCACCAUGAGCACCCACUAGAGGCAAACAAAACAGAAACCCACACCAAACUUAAAGACAGGAAGCAAACCAAAAAGUGGAGCAAAACAAAAACAGGGAAGAUCAGAUAAAGGAUUGUCUUUCUAGAAAUCAAACAGGGAGAGCCAACUAAAGGUGUUGACCCUCCACAUCUCUCAAGACAACUGGAGGAUUGGGCCAGCUGCUCUUAAAUAUCACCUGUGCCAGCACAGAUGGAAACCCCAUUCCAACUAACGAGAUGGACCAACCAGCACAAGUGGAACACAUACUGACUAACGAGGUGCCACCAAUUGGCGAACCCUAUGUGCUAAAGUACUAUACGAGCUACAGUCCAACCUCAAAACAUCAAUGGAGGGGAAAAAAACUGUAACAAUUAUCAACAGGGAAGUACACUGUAUGCUCUACCAUCUCCUCUGUAACAAUCUCUCUCACCCAUUGGUUGACCUGACAUUGGUAUUGGUAUUCUAAACGAUAUCAUAGCCGCCAUCGAUAAAAGACAAUACUGUGCAGCCGUAUUCGUCGACCUGGCCAAGGCUUUCGACUCUGUCAAUAACCACAUUCUUAUCGACAGACUCAACAGCCUUGGUUUCUCAAAUGACUGCCUCGCCUGGUUCACCAACUACUUCUCAGAUAGAGUUCAGUGUGUCAAAUCGGAGGGCCUGUUGUCCGGACCUCUGGCAGUCUCUAUGGGGGGUGCCACAGGGUUCAAUUCUCGGGCCGACUCUUUUCUCUGCAUACAUCAAUGAUACAUCAGUGAUUCUCUGAUCUACGCAGACGACACCAUUCUGUAUACUUCUGGCCCUUCUUUGGAUACUGUGUUUACAAACAUCCAGACGAGAUUCAAUGCCAUACAACACUCCUUCCGUGGCCUCCAAUUGCUCUUAAAUGCAAGCAAAACUAAAUGCAUACUCUUCAACCGAUCGCUGCCCAUACCCGCCCGCCCGUCUAGCAUCACUACUCUGGACGGUUCUGACUUAGAAUAUGUGGACCACUACAAAUAGCUAGGUGUCUGGUUAGACUGUAAACUCUCCUUCCAGACUCACAUUAAGCAUCUCCAAUCCAAAGUUAAAUCUAGAAUCGGCUUCCUAUUUCACAACAAAGCAUCCUUCACUCAUGCUGCCAAACAUACCCUCGUAAAACUGACUAUCCUACAGAUCCUUGACUUUGGCGAUGUCAUUUACAAAAUAGCCUCCAACACUCUACUCAGCAAAUUGGAUGUAGUCUAUCACAGUGCCAUCUGUUUUUUCACCAAAGCCCCAUAUACUACCCACCACUCUGACCUGUAUGCUCUCGUUGGUUGGCCCUCGCUUCAUAUUCGUCGCCAAACCCACUGGCUCCAGGUCAUCUAUAAGUCUUUGCUAGGUAAAGCCCCGCCUUAUCUCAGCUCACUGGUCACCAUAGCAGCACCCACCUGUAGCACGCGUUCCAACAGGUAUAGCUCACUGGUCACCAUAGCAGCACCCACCUGUAGCACGCGUUCCAACAGGUAUGUUUCACUGGUCAUCACCAAAGCCAUUCCCCCUUUGGCCGACUUUCCUUCCAGGUCUCUGCUGCCAAUGACUGGAACAAAUUGCAAAAAUCACUGAAGCUGGAGACUCAUAUCUCCCUCACUAACUUUAAGCAUCAGCUGUCAGAGCAGCUUACCGAUCAUUGCACCUGCACAUAGCCCAUCUGUAAUAUAGACCAGUCAACUACCUCAUCCCCAUAUUGUUAUCUAUUUCUUUGCUCCUUUGCACCCCAGUAUCUCUACUUGCACAUUCAUCUUCUGCACAUCUAUCACUCCAGUGUUUAAUUGCUAAAUUGUAAUUAUUUCGCCACUAUGGCCUAUUUAUUGCCUUAUCUCCCUAAUCUUACUAUGUUUGCACACACUGUAUAUAGACUUUUCUAUUGUGUUAUUGACUGUACGAUUGUUUGUGUGUAACUCUUUGUUGUUGUGUUGCACUGCUUUGCUUUAUCUUGGCCAGGUCGCAGUUGUAAAUGAGAACUUGUUCUCAACUGGCCUAUCUGGUUAAAUAAAGGUGAAAUAAAAAAAAAUACAAAUAAAAAUUGAUUAACAUUCUCUUCUAUUUUAUUAUGCACUUUUCUUUUGCCCAGUACAACCAUGACAUAUGAUGUGUAUUUGACAAGAAAAAUGUUGGCAAUCUUCAUAUACCUUUAAUGUGGAUGGAGAAUGAUUUUCUGCGAUUGCAGGGCUGGAGAAUCCACAGCCUGGCAAACUUCAUGGUCAGAUGUUCCGUUGGCUCGUCCUGCACACAAAGUAAAAUACAGCCCAAUUAACACCGUCUGCAGCCUGGAGUAGACAAAACAAUGACAGGA
ensembl:lncRNA